rnacentral:ncRNA from 2 species
CCCUGUCACCGGGGGUGCCCUGCAAACGGGCUGAGAGACACCCUGAGAACCUGAUCUGGAUCAUGCCAGCGGAGGGAGCGUGAUGUGCGGGAUAU